GAUGAACGCUGGCGGCGUGCCUAAUACAUGCAAGUCGAGCGAACAGACGAGGAGCUUUCUCCUCUGACGUUAGCGGCGGACGGGUGAGUAACACGUGGAUAACCUACCUAUAAGACUGUGAUAACUUCGGGAAACCGGAGCUAAUACCGGAUAAUAUAUUUAACCUCAUGGUUCAAUAGUGACAGACGGUUUUGCUUUCCCUUAUAGAUGGAUCCGCGCCGCAUUAGCUAGUUGGUAAGGUAACGGCUUACCAAGGCAACGAUGCGUAGCCGACCUGAGAGGGUGAUCGGCCACACUGGAACUGAGACACGGUCCAGACUCCUACGGGAGGCAGCAGUAGGGAAUCUUACGCAAUGGGAGAAAGCCUGACGGAGAAAAGCCGCGUGAGUGAUGAAGGUCGUCGGAUAGGAAAACUCUGUUAUUAGGGAAGAACAAAUGUGUAAGUAACUAUGCACGUAUUGACGGUACCUAAUCAGAAAGCCACGGCUAACUACGUG
rnacentral:rRNA from 1 species